rnacentral:rRNA from 1 species
CGUGUAGGCGGUCCGCUAAGUCUGAUGUGAAAGCCCGGGGCUCACCCCCGGAAGUGCAUUGGAUACUGACGGACUCGAGUCCCGGAGAGGAGGGUGGAAUUCCUGGUGUAGCGGUGAAAUGCGUAGAUAUCAGGAGGAACACCGGUGGCGAAGGCGGCCCUCUGGACGGUGACUGACGCUGAGACGCGAAAGCGUGGGGAGCAAACA